rnacentral:tRNA from 1 species
UAUAGGGAGCCAGGUUGGGAUUCAAUGAUAGAGAAUUUAAGUUAAAUCCCCUAUUU